CCUACGGGAGGCAGCAGUGAGGAAUAUUGGUCAAUGGCCGGAAGGCUGAACCAGCCAUGCCGCGUGAAGGUCAGUGCCCUAUGGGAGUUAAACUUCCUUUGUUCGGGAGCAAUAAUGUUCCCCUGUGGCCCGACGAGAUUACCCUACGAAUAAGCAUCGGCUUACCCCGUUCCAGCGGACGCGGUGAUACGGGGGAUGCCAGCGUUAUACGGAUUUAUUGGGUUUAAAGGGGGCGUAGGCCGGGCGGUAAGUUCGCGGUGAAAUGCCCCCGCUCAACGGGGUGAAGUGCCAUUGAGACUGGCUGGCUGGAAUGGGGAUGAAGUGGGAGGAAUGUGUGGUGUAGCGGUGAAAUGCAUAGAUAUCACACAGAACACCGAUUGCGAAGGCAUCUCACGAAGCCGCGAUUGACGCUGAUGCACGAAAGCGUGGGUAUCAAACAGGAUUAGAUACCCGAGUAGUC
rnacentral:rRNA from 1 species